rnacentral:rRNA from 1 species
AGAGUUUGAUCAUGGCUCAGAACGAACGCUGGCGGCAUGCCUAACACAUGCAAGUCGAACGAGACCUUCGGGUCUAGUGGCGCACGGGUGCGUAACGCGUGGGAAUCUGCCCUUGGGUUCGGAAUAACAGUUAGAAAUGACUGCUAAUACCGGAUGAUGUCUUCGGACCAAAGAUUUAUCGCCCAAGGAUGAGCCCGCGUCGGAUUAGCUAGUUGGUGGGGUAAAAGCCUACCAAGGCGACGAUCCGUAGCUGGUCUGAGAGGGCGGACGGCCACACUGGGACUGAGACACGGCCCAGACUCCUACGGGAGGCAGCAGUAGGGAAUUUUCCACAAUGGGCGAAAGCCUGAUGGAGCAACGCCGCGUGCAGGAUGAAUGCCUUAGGGUUGUAAACUGCUUUUAUAUGUGACGAUUAUGACGGUAGCAUACGAAUAAGGAUCGGCUAACUCCGUGCCAGCCGCCGCGGUAAUAC